CCAUGUAAGUUCUAACAUUAAUAAUUAUUCAGUCCCUCCCCAUGAUUAACUCAUGCUUACUCUUCCACUCAUGACAGCCUGCACACUUCAUAUUAUAUUUAUUUAUUUAUUUAUUUAUUUGUGGUGUUUUAACACCACUUUUAAGCACCGCAUUUAGGCUAUUUCGUAGCGGCUGUUUUUAUUGGUGGAGGCAGCCAGAGUGCCUGGAGAAAACCACCGACCUUCAUAUUAUAAAAAUGUGUCACAAAUUGACACUCUCAGGAUGAGAGAGCCACUGAGUUGGAAGCUUAAUGUUAUUAAGCUAGAUAGAUCCUGAGCUUAUUCUGAAUGGUUAAUUGAGAAUAUUUUUCAUGACAAAGUCUAUGUACAGCAAUCCUAGAGCAAUGGAAUAUAACGACUAUAAAUUUCUCUUAAAUUUAUUGAUUCUAUCCAAACUUGCGUAUAUAUAUGUGGGCAGAUACAUGUAUAUCUACAUGUUAUUGUAUUUUAACCAAAGUCUGAACAGUAGUGGGGUAAAAAAUAUUUUCUUUACCCAAGGGCUGAAAUUGGUUCAGUGUAGGUCAAGCACAGCAAAGAUUAGAGAGUAUCUGGAGUUACCAGAAAUCCUGAUAUUUGUUUAAGGAUUGUCAUAAAAACCGCGAUAAUUUAUCUGAUCAACUACAAAUCAGUCAGACAGAAAAUUGUAAGGGAAACCAAUUAUCUGAAAAAUAACCUUUUCCUUAUGAUUUCAAAGAACUUGACAAGUAAAAGUUUAAAUUAUACCAUAGUUAUGGAUUAAACAAAUGAUUGCGGCCAGAUAAAAAUAAUGUUAGGCUCUUAGGAUCAGAUAAUUUUGCUUACUUGACAUUUAAACCAAUGAGUGGCCAAUAUUUGUCUUCCCUACAGCAUAAUUUCGGACUGGUCUGAAAUCUAAAUAAAAGCUUACACAAUCAAAUGGCAAAUUAGAAUUGUUGGUUAAAAACAGGGUAGAAAACUGUAAAGGACAAUGGUGGUAAAAUGUAUGUCAGCCAGGUCAAAACAUAGU
rnacentral:lncRNA from 1 species